CAGCCACAUCUUACUGCACACGUAACGUACACUGAACGUGAUCCAAGGCCUCUAUAUACUCACGGCGCAGUUCUUCUUUGUUCAUUGCUUGGAAGUAAAAAGAGGUUGAAAGUACAUACAGCGACAUAUCCUACUGUUAACGAACAUCUCGACGCCGUCCAUGCUGUUCAGGACGACGGUUAGAUGAAGUAAAUUAUGUGCUGCGCGCUGUCCACUCAGUAAAUAAACACAACAAAAAAUGUCAGUGGUAGUUAGGAAAACGUCUGAUCGCGAUGUGGGUAUGUUUGGACCUGCUCUGCAAUUCACCAGCAUCAUGUCAACAGAUGAGACAGUGGAGUCUUCUGACAUCCAACUGCUUCGGGUGAGUACGGCUGCCAGCCGUCCCAUCACAACAGAAACGCAGAGCCUGGAGGAGGAGACCGGAAAUGCAGCCCAGACACUGACAAUCGGAGACGCAGCUGUCUCUCUUCAGCUGGAAUUACUGUGGCUUUAAAAGGAACUGAAGGAUGAAUUGGGGUAAUACGGCUGGACUGACUUCAUUGGCUGCUCAUCAGAGACUCUCUGGUGGACGUUUGACCUCCCAUUGAUCACAGAUGCCAGUUUGAUUGAAAUAGAAGCCAUUGUGUCGCACCCUAUUAAAAUACAUUGGGUCCAGACGGCUGGAUAUCAAACCUCAGACGUCUGUCAGUCAAUCAGGUUUUCUCCUGCUGCGGUCAGAGGAGAUCCUCCGGUCUGUCUGACAGUGAGGUACAUGCGCUUCAGAAAAGCACAGAGGGGAACAUCCCAGCGUGAGGAAGAUGCCAGAAUACAACUGUGUCAUCUCAACACAGAUGUUUUACGGCAGAUUUGUCAUUUUCCGAGCUGCAGAAGUGCUAGACAGAUGACAGAAGGAUAAAAUUAGAAAACAGAGGCACUUAUCAUGUCAGACUAAGCACGUCAUUCUCCCACAGGAUGGAGCCGGAGCCGGGAUAUAGCAUACACCAGUGAGCUUUCAUCAGAUGAGUAGUGUUUGAUUGAUUGACCGUCCUUUAUUGAUAAUCAGUCAUAUAUAAUGGGGAAUCUCAUGAAACCUGUCAAAAACAUGUGCAAGUCAUAUUUCACCCACAAAAUAACGAAAAAUAUUUUUCAUAAAGAAAACAGAUACUAUUUUCAGGAGCAUUAUGAUUUUUUUUUAUUUAUUUUUUUUAUUGUGGCAUUA